AUAAAUACCUGGCAAGGGAGAUGCCAGGAUUGGGAAGAUGGUUUUUCCAGGGCAACACUGGUCCACUGCUCACCAGAUAGGCGGACCUGCCAUUUCCUUAAAUGCAGGAAAAACUCUACUCCAUACCUUGUGGUAUUGUGUGUGUGUGUCGGCAGA
rnacentral:snRNA from 1 species